GACGAACGCUGGCGGCGUGCUUAACACAUGCAAGUCGAACGGAAAGGCCCUGCUUGCAGGGUACUCGAGUGGCGAACGGGUGAGUAACACGUGGGUGAUCUGCCCUGCACUUCGGGAUAAGCCUGGGAAACUGGGUCUAAUACCGGAUAGGAGCCAUUUUUAGUGUGAUGGUUGGAAAGUUUUUUCGGUGUAGGAUGAGCUCGCGGCCUAUCAGCUUGUUGGUGGGGUAUGGACUACCAAGGCGGCGACGGGUAGCCGGGCUGGGAGGGUGGACGGCCACAUUGGGACUGAGAUACGGCCCAGACUCCUACGGGAGGCAGCAGUGGGGAAUAUUGCACAAUGGGCGCAAGCCUGAUGCAGCGACGCCGCGUGGGGGAUGACGGCCUUCGGGUUGUAAACUCCUUUCGCUAGGGACGAAGCUUUUUGUGACGGUACCUAGAUAAGAAGCACCGGCUAACUACGUG
rnacentral:rRNA from 1 species